rnacentral:rRNA from 1 species
AUUGAACGCUGGCGGCAUGCCUUACACAUGCAAGUCGAACGGCAGCACGGGUGCUUGCACCUGGUGGCGAGUGGCGAACGGGUGAGUAAUACAUCGGAACGUACCUUAUCGUGGGGGAUAACGCAGCGAAAGUUGCGCUAAUACCGCAUACGCCCUGAGGGGGAAAGCGGGGGACCGUAAGGCCUCGCGCGAGUAGAGCGGCCGAUGUCUUAUUAGCUUGUUGGUGGGGUAAAAGCUCACCAAGGCGAUGAGCAGUAGCUGGGCUGAGAGGACGAUCAGCCACACUGGGACUGAGACACGGCCCAGACUCCUACGGGAGGCAGCAGUGGGGAAUUUUGGACAAUGGGGGCAACCCUGAUCCAGCAAUGCCGCGUGAGUGAAGAAGGCCUUCGGGUUGUAAAGCUCUUUUGUCAGGGAAGAAACAGCAGCUCUAACACAGUCUGCGAAUGACGGUACCUGAAGAAUAAGCACCGGCUAACUACGUGCCAGCAGCCGCCGCGG